UUAUUAUUAUUAUUAUUUUUCUUCAAGGUUUCGGGGGCUUUUGGGGCCCUUAACAUGCUCAAAAACUCUUGAAAAUUGCCACACACCUUGGAACCUGCGGCCAUUAGGGCCGGGCAGAGUCUGAUACACGGGCGUGGCACAGGGGCUCUACAGCGCCCCCUGUAGUACUGAGGGCCAUAUAUCAUGCAUACUUGCACGUAUACAUAUGAAACUUGGUACAUAUAUAUAACUCAUCAAACCAAACAACUUUCACACUGCAUGUCAUAAGCUCCGCCCAACAGGAAGUUGGCUAUUUAGGGUUUUAUGAAAAACACAUGCUCUGGAAUUUGAUAUACUCCUCUGAGGAACUCCACCCGUUCACCACCAAACUCGGUGAACACGAUCUCAAGACAUUGGGGAUGCUAAAUUUCGAAGAGAUUUUUGAUAUCUCGAACGGUUUGCCCGUGGCGAGGCGUUGAAAUUAUGGCGAGAAAUGAGAAACAGGAAAUGUCUAAUAACAUCCACAUACAUUUCCUGAAUUUGAUCAAACUUAAUUGGUUUGUUCAUUGUAUGAUACCGAUCAUAUAUAUGUGACUAUUAGGAGUCAAAGUUAUAGCGCCACCAACUGGCAGCAGGAAGUGAAUCAUUUUCAAAACGCUUUGAAUUCAGCAUCUUAUUUUUACUUGAUUUGCUUCAAACUUCAUCAGAAUAAUGACAAAACACGGCCGAAGAAAAUCUGUUGUGGGGAUAUUUAUAUCUAAUAUAGUGUUGCUAUGGCAACGUGUCAAACUUGAAUGUUCUGUUCUGGUGAUUUUUAGGCAGAUAACUAGCUCAGAUUUACAUGAAACUCAAAACACAUAUCAGUAUUAGUGAUAGCUAGACAAUGGCAAAAGCUUUUAAAAGGGCGUGAAGGAGGCACUCUAUAGCGCCACCUUUUGUCAAAAGUGGGGGGGUUAGUUUUAGCUACAGACACCAAACUUGGUACAUAAAUUGUUCUUUUCAAGACGGACAACUUUCUAAUUCACAGUCAUCAGCUACGACCAACAGGAAGUCGGCUAUUUUGAUUUGAAUGUGUAUUUUUGAGAUUUUACAGUUGUGAAUUAAUGCAUACUCCUCACAGGGGAAGUACACUAUACACACCAAACUUUGUCAACAUGAAGAAAAAACAUUGAGGAACUUAAAUUGCGAACGGAUUUUGGUUAGCUUGAACGGUUUUGUCGUGGUGAUUUUUUGAAAUGACAGUAAAAAGGGAAACAUUAAUUGUCUUGUAUGUUUAAAUUGCAGCUUCCAAACACUUCAAAGCAUUUUUUCAUACAAAGAUCAAAUCAUUCUGAGGAAAUAUGCAUAGUUUCACGACUUUACAACACUGUAUGGAUAACAGAAAAUUAAAAAACUGUCAGACUUCUCAACUGACAUGAUCUCACUCUGGCCACUCUGUCUGUGUGAGGAAAGGGAGGGGGAGAGGGAGGGGGAGUGUGAGGGGGUUGGUGACUGUGAAUGUUUGGUGACUGACAGUGUGUGUGGAUUGUAGGGAGGGGCUGUCUGGCAGAGAGAGAGAGAGAGAGAGAGAGAGAGAGACCUAAUCAUCCCUUUAAUAAUCAGGAAAAAAAAAUCUGUAUUUUAAAUUGUUAUUGUUUUUGUUGUUGCUAAUGGUGGUGUUUUUUCCUUUCAUUACAGGUUAAGAAAUCUCUUAGGCCUUAUCCUUUUCUGACAGUUUUAGGGAUUUAAAAACAUCCUAAGAACCCUAAUUUGUGCUGCAAAUAAUAAUUUCAAACUCAUUUGAUACUGACCUAUGACAACCUGUGACGUGACAUGACAUUUAUUAAUCUCAUUGAUGUAACAGUAAAACUCUUCAACUGACAGAUUAAGCUGCAAUGCAAGCAAAACUAUUUCACAAAUGCUUAUAGGUCAUUAAAAUCAUUACAAAACACUAAUACAUUAUUUAAGGAUUUGGUAACACUGUAAAAUAAUGUCUAAUUUGUUAACAUUAGUAUAUGCAAUGGUAACACUUUAUAAUAAUUGCACUCAUUAGCUAAGCAUUAGUAAAUAGUUCAUGAUUAUAAAGCCUUUUCCCUUAAUAAUAGUCAUUAUUAAGCAGUAAUACAUCUAUAAAUAAAUUGUUCUUGGUUUAAAAGCACAUAUAUUACAAAGGAGAUUAAAGUCUCAGUUGUCUUAUAAAAUAAAUAAAUAAACACAACCCAGUUUGAUUCAGAAUUCAGAAAUAUUUAUUUCAAGAUGCAAUAAAAGGAAACUGUACACUUGAAUAGCUUUUAUGCGAUUCUUGAAGGAUUAGCAUUACCUCCUCUUGUAAGAUGGUUUGAGGAAUAUAUCUUCGAGAUUGUACCGCCGCUCCCUAUAUGCAUAGUAUGCAGUCUUCGUAGGGCACCAACUCCCAGAGGGGGCACCAUCCCAGUUGCUCAAAAAAAAAAAAAAAAAAAAACAUGCGCCAUUCUCCCA